ACUCCUACGGGAGGCAGCAGUGGGGAAUAUUGCACAAUGGGCGCAAGCCUGAUGCAGCCAUGCCGCGUGUAUGAAGAAGGCCUUCGGGUUGUAAAGUACUUUCAGCAGUGAGGAAGGUGGGUAUGUUAAUAGCAUACUCAUUUGACGUUAGCUGCAGAAGAAGCACCGGCUAACUCCGUGCCAGCAGCCGCGGUAAUACGGAGGGUGCGAGCGUUAAUCGGAAUUACUGGGCGUAAAGCGCAUGCAGGUGGUUUGUUAAGUCAGAUGUGAAAGCCCGGGGCUCAACCCUCGGAAUUGCAUUUGAAACUGGCAAACUAGAGUACUGUAGAGGGGGGUAGAAUUUCAGGUGUAGCGGUGAAAUGCGUAGAGAUCUGAAGGAAUACCGGUGGCGAAGGCCGGCCCCCUGGACAGAUACUGACACUCAGAUGCGAAAGCGUGGGGAGCAAACAGGAUUAGAUACCCUGGUAGCUCUGC
rnacentral:rRNA from 1 species